rnacentral:rRNA from 1 species
UAGUGACAAUAAAUAACAAUAUAGGGCUCUUUUGGGUCUUAUAAUUGCAAUGAGUACAAUUUAAAUCCCUUAACGAGGAUCAAUUGGAGGGCAAGUCUGGUGCCAGCAGCCGCGGUAAUUCCAGCUCCAAUAGCGUAUACUAAAGUUGUUGCCGUUAAAAAGCUCGUAGUCGAACUUCGGCCUUUGCCGCCCGGUCCGCCUAUUUGGUGUGUACUGGAGCGGUGGAGGCCUACCUCGUGGUGAACAGCUAUGCCCUUUACUGGGUGUGGUUGGGAACCAUGACUUUUACCUUGAAAAAAUUAGAGUGUUCAAAGCAGGCUUACGCCCGAAUACAUUAGCAUGGAAUAAUAAAAUAGGACGUGCGGUUCUAUUUUGUUGGUUUCUAGGAUCGCCGUAAUGAUUAAUAGGGAUAGUUGGGGGCAUUCGUAUUCAAUUGCUAGAGGUGAAAUUCUUGGAUUUAUUGAAGACGAACUACUGCGAAAGCAUUUGCCAAGGAUGUUUUCAUUGAUCAAGAACGAAGGUUAGGGGAUCGAAAACGAUCAGAUACCGUUGUAGUCUUAACAGUAAACGAUGCCGACUAGGGAUCGGACGAGGCUUUUUAAUGACUCGUUCGGCACCUGAAGAGAAAUCUUUAAGUCUAGGUUCGGGGGGGAGUAUGGUCGCAAGGCUGAAACUUAAAGGAAUUGACGGAAGGGCACCACCAUGGUGUGGAGCCUGCGGCUUAAUUUGACUCAACACGGGGAAACUCACCAGGUCCAGACACGACAAGGAUUGACAGAUUGAUAGCUCUUUCUUGAUUUCGUGGUUGGUGGUGCAUGGCCGUUCUUAGUUGGUGGAGUGAUUUGUCUGGUUAAUUCCGAUAACGAACGAGACCUUAACCUGCUAAAUAGCCCGGCCGACUUUGGUUGGUCGCUGGCUUCUUAGAGGGACUAUCGGCGUUUAGCCGAUGGAAGUUUGA